rnacentral:rRNA from 1 species
CUUGUUGGUGAGGUAAUGGCUCACCAAGGCGACGACGGGUAGCCGGCCUGAGAGGGUGACCGGCCACACUGGGACUGAGACACGGCCCAGACUCCUACGGGAGGCAGCAGUGGGGAAUAUUGCACAAUGGGCGAAAGCCUGAUGCAGCAACGCCGCGUGGGGGAUGACGGCCUUCGGGUUGUAACCCUCUUUUAGUAAGGAAGAAGCCUUCGGGUGACGGUACUUGCAGAAAAAGGACCGGCUAACUACGUGCCAGCAGCCGCGGUAAUACGUAGGGUCCGAGCGUUGUCCGGAAUUAUUGGGCGUAAAGAGCUCGUAGGCGGUUUGUCGCGUCUGCUGUGAAAUCCCGAGGCUCAACCUCGGGCCUGCAGUGGGUACGGGCAGACUAGAGUGCGGUAGGGGAGAAUGGAAUUCCUGGUGUAGCGGUGGAAUGCGCAGAUAUCAGGAGGAACACCGAUGGCGAAGGCAGUUCUCUGGGCCGUAACUGACGCUGAGGAGCGAAAGCAUGGGGAGCGAACAGGAUUAGAUACCCUGGUAGUCCAUGCCGUAAGCGGUGGGCGCUAGGUGUGGGGAACAUUCCACGUUCUCCGUGCCGCAGCUAACGCAUUAAGCGCCCCGCCUGGGGAGUACGGAAUCUCUAGAGGAUCCC